AUCCGGGUUGGCAGAGCGGCGGUCCGCGCUCUCCACCGAGGAGCAGAAGGAGUAGUACGAGCCGUCUGCCUCCACAUCACCUGACAAUGAAUCCCCCCGGCGUCGACCAAUGAGAUCACAUUUCCUGAUCCAAACCGAGAGGAGGACUUGCACUCAUAACCCGUGGGAAUUUCUGCCGGCUGAAAUGAGUGAUCAUCUUUCUGAGGCGGAGUGGUGAAUACAUUCAAAUAAACCUUGCGGAGAGCACAGCUGGGGUUUCAAGACGUCUACAACUUUUGUCCAGCGGUGUGAUCCCCCUGAUCGCUUGAAGCCUGACGUGUCAAUCUGCCAGUGAACCAAAAUAAUGGAAAAAAAAAGGUCAAUCGAGCGUAAAAUGAAGAAUUUUACACGAAGCAGGAACUGACAGUCUUUACAGCUGAUCACUGGACCUACCAGAUUCCUGGAGCAGCUCGAUCUCUAUUGCCUCUGAUAGCAUUCCUCUUUCUUCUAAUCGUUCCAGGAGUGACUUUAAAACUUGCUUCUGUCUCCUUUCUCGAUCCUUUGCAUUUCUGAGUUGUCGCUCCAGCUCCUCGAUCCGUGCUUGAGCGUCAGACAGCUUUUUUUUUACUUGAGUAGGAUCCAGAGCAUAGUGAUGAUCCUACAGAAGGAAAGAUUUGUUGACUAAAGCAACACUUUUGCUGUAAAUUGCUGUGAACUGUUUGUGUUUUAAGAAAGAAACUGUUUUAAAACUGAAUCGUUUUGGUUUAUGUUCUACUCUGCAAGUGAAUCAAAUAUAAUGCAAAUAAAAUAUGUUGACAUUUGUA